UUGCCUUUUCUAUCAAAUGAAUUUUAAAAUAUUUAUAUUAAAAAAAUAGAUUUGCAGUAUUUCUUCUAAUCAGGUCGUAUUUCGGCCGUAGGCCAAAUGAUUGUGAAGCGAUAGUGUUAUCGCAGCUGAACGUUAGAUAAAUUCACCACUAAAAUUUAUGCCAGUCUACCACUUGACAACUCUAUGACCACCACAAAGUAAACAAAAACAACAUUAAGUGCGAAAUGUGCGAAUCGACGGUGGAUCUGAGAUGUCUACAGCUGGAUGCGGCCAAGGAAGGUGAUGUGGACACUCCGGAACAUCCACGACGGUCAGCUGUGGCGACCUGGACGGUAGAUUGCGUUGCAUGUUGCAAGUUCAACCGUUUUCCGGCGAUCGUGCUGGAGCACGGCACCAAGUUGCACACUGCCGCUGCCCAACACCUGUCCACCAAGGUUUGACCUCUUUGUGUCAACCUGAUCGUGGCCGAUUUGAGAAAGACCGUAAGCUGUUGAUGAAGUGACGGCGCAGGAGUUAGUGCUCAAGGUAACUAGAAUGUGGCCAAUCAGCUGAGGGGCAUCGUCACAAGGAGAUAAACUAGGUAAGCGGCUACCCACUGAGAAUUGUAACGAGUCUGGAGAUCUGGAUACCAACGGGGACGUCAAAUUCGUCCUGAAGAAUGCGAUGGAGCCUUCGCAAGCUUCCGUAACGGCUAGUGGCGACGCUGGAUCGCGACAAGGAAACUGUCACGCUGCCUCCAUGGCGCUGUCGGUCUCAUUUCCUCAGUUCCGGUUGACAGCAGCCUCCGUCUAGAACAGGGUGCUGAACCGGAUUUCGGCAGUGUCGUGCUUCAUGCCAAUGACAAGUUGUUGUCCAUUUUGCCUUCUUUAGAUGGAUGAUCUUAUCGAAAUGAUGGGGCAGGAGCCGAUCAUGAUGGACAUCUUUCCCGAUCUUGCCCUGUGGCAUGUGCAUCUGAAGCGUGUCGCUGUACGGUUUCCGGCACAAGACAAUGAAAAAGAUCGCAACAUCGACGAGAUUUGGAUCUGACGAUUACUGUUGUGUUUAUAUCAUCUUGACAACAACAAUAUAUGUAAAACUGUAAGUAUUGCAGUUUUUUAAUAUCAUUAUCAAUUCCGCAGAGGUAAACUCACAGUUUGCAUGUUCAAUGAGCUGUUUUUCUUAAUAUUAGUGUGAUUUUAUUUAACUCCGUUGAAUUUAAAAUCUGAUACUAAUUUUCAAGCGCUAAACCCAAUGUAGUUUGGAAUCAUUUACUUUUGUCUUUUAUGAUCAAAAACAAGUACUUUUAGAACGAAAUCAAGUGUUUGGUUUGAUCAGGAAGGACAGAAAAAAAAGAUUUUAAACAUCAUUUGGCCAUUAAAGCAGUUGAAAUUUACGUCGGAUUCAAAAUUCAACGGAGUAAAAAAAUUUUUAGGUUCGGUAAAUUUACAUCAUUUUCAUUGGAAAUUUACAUCUUUUCGAAGCGUUGAUUGUUCGGCACGUUUACGUCGGAAGGCAUGUAAAUUUAAGUUGAAGUUGAUGUAAAUUAGCAUCAUUAAUGACGUGCACUUUUGGUACAUCAUAAAUGAUGUAAAUU